rnacentral:rRNA from 1 species
GAUGAACGCUGGCGGCGUGCCUAAUACAUGCGAGUCGAGCGAACAGACGAGGAGCUUGCUCCUCUGACGUUAGCGGCGGACGGGUGAGUAACACGUGGAUAACCUACCUAUAAGACUGGGAUAACUUCGGGAAACCGGAGCUAAUACCGGAUAAUAUAUUGAACCGCAUGGUUCAAUAGUGAAAGACGGUUUUGCUGUCACUUAUAGAUGGAUCCGCGCCGCAUUAGCUAGUUGGUAAGGUAACGGCUUACCAAGGCGACGAUGCGUAGCCGACCUGAGAGGGUGAUCGGCCACACUGGAACUGAAACACGGUCCAGACUCCUACGGGAGGCAGCAGUAGGGAAUCUUCCGCAAUGGGCGAAAGCCUGACGGAGCAACGCCGCGUGAGUGAUGAAGGUCUUCGGAUCGUAAAACUCUGUUAUUAGGGAAGAACAAAUGUGUAAGUAACUAUGCACGUCUUGACGGUACCUAAUCAGAAAGCCACGGCUAACUACGUG